GACGAACGCUGGCGGCGUGCCUAAUACAUGCAAGUAGAACGCUGAAGCGAGGAGCUUACUCUUCUUGGAUGAGUUGCGAACGGGUGAGUAACGCGUAGGUAACCUGCCUUGUAGCGGGGGAUAACUAUUGGAGACGAUAGCUAAUACCGCAUAACAAUGGAUGACACAUGUCAUUUAUUUGAAAGGGGCAAUUGCUCCACUACAAGAUGGACCUGCGUUGUAUUAGCUAGUAGGUGAGGUAAUGGCUCACCUAGGCGACGAUACAUAGCCGACCUGAGAGGGUGAUCGGCCACACUGGGACUGAGACACGGCCCAGACUCCUACGGGAGGCAGCAGUAGGGAAUCUUCGGCAAUGGGGGCAACCCUGACCGAGCAACGCCGCGUGAGUGAAGAAGGUUGUCGGAUCGUAAAGCUCUGUUGUAAGUCAAGAACGGGUGUGAGAGUGGAAAGUUCACACUGUGACGGUAGCUUACCAGAAAGGGACGGCUAACUACGUG
rnacentral:rRNA from 1 species